rnacentral:rRNA from 1 species
UCGAUAAGAUUACCGCCCUAGUUCUAACCCUAAACGAUGCCAACCACCAAUCCGCGUGUAGCACCUUUCUUAACGGGCUCGGCGGGCAGCUCCUUACUUACGGGAAACCAGAGUCUCUGGGUUCCGGGGGGAGUCUGGUUGCAAAGCUGAAACUUAAAGGAAUUGACGGAAAGGCACCACCAGGCGUGGAGCCUGCGGCUUAAUUUGACUCAACACGGGCCAUCUCACCAGGCCAGCACUCUAGUACGAUUGACAGAUUGAGAGCUCUUUCUCGAUUUAGUGGAUGGUGGUGCAUGGCCGUUCUUAGUUGGUGGAGUGAUCUGUCUGGUUAAUUCCGAUAACGAACGAGACAUAAUUCCGAUAACGAACGAGACUCUCCCCUGCUAACUAGUCGGUUGGAUCUUGAUCUUAUAUUAUAUAUGUAUCGCCGUGAGUCGUGUGCCGAGUAAACCUGGCGUUGCCUGGGAGGAGGAGUCGUUGGAGCGCUGAUGUGCUUGUGCGUGUGUUUCUCGUCUGUGAUCGUAGCCUCGUGUUGCGGUUGCUUGCGGGGGCGCGCGUGCUUGUGUGUUGGUGUUUCUUCUUCUUUUUUUUUCGGUGCGUCGGGCCUUGGACUGCACACUCCAAGUCCGCCGCUUAUGCUUAAAACUCUUCUUAGAGGGAUUCACGGUUCUGAAGCCGUAAGAGACUGAGAGCAAUAACAGGUCUGUGAUGCCCUUAGAUGUUCUGGGCCGCACGCGCGCUACAAUGCCGGGCACAGCAGGUACUUUUCCUACUCCGACAGGAGCGGGUAACCCUGUAAAGCCCUAUGUCUUACAGUUUAACGGGUGUCGAGUUCGUCUCGAUGCUCUUCUGGCGUGAUUGGGCCUGGGUCUUGCAAUUUUUUCCCACUAACGAGGAAUGCCUUGUAGCGGCGGGUCACUGAGCCCGCCGUGACUCAGUCCCUGCCCUUUGUAUCA